rnacentral:rRNA from 1 species
AGAUUGAACGCUGGCGGCAUGCCUUACACAUGCAAGUCGAACGGCAGCACGGGAGCAAUCCUGGUGGCGAGUGGCGAACGGGUGAGUAAUACAUCGGAACGUGCCCAAUCGUGGGGGAUAACGCAGCGAAAGCUGUGCUAAUACCGCAUAAGAUCUACGGAUGAAAGCAGGGGAUCGCAAGACCUUGCGCGAAUGGAGCGGCCGAUGGCAGAUUAGGUAGUUGGUGAGGUAAAGGCUCACCAAGCCUUCGAUCUGUAGCUGGUCUGAGAGGACGACCAGCCACACGUGGGACUGAGACACGGCCCAGACUCGUACGGGAGCAGCAGGUGGGUAAUUUGGAACAGUGGGACGAAAGCCUAGACUCCGAGCCAGUCGCCGCGUCGCGA